rnacentral:rRNA from 1 species
AGUGAACGCUGGCGGUAGGCCUAACACAUGCAAGUCGAACGGCAGCACAGUAAGAGCUUGCUCUUACGGGUGGCGAGUGGCGGACGGGUGAGGAAUACAUCGGACUCUACUUUUUCGUGGGGGAUAACGUAGGGAAACUUACGCUAAUACCGCAUACCACCUACGGGUGAAAGCAGGGGAUCUUCGGACCUUGCGCGAUUGAAUGAGCCGAUGUCGGAUUAGCUAGUUGGCGGGGUAAAGGCCCACCAAGGCGACGAUCCGUAGCUGGUCUGAGAGGAUGAUAGGCCACACUGGAACUGAGACACGGUCCAGACUCCUACGGGAGGCAGCAGUGGGGAAUAUUGGACAGUGGGGGCAAGCCUGAUCCAGCCAUACCGCGUGGGUGAAGAAGGCCUUCGGGUUGUAAAGCCCUUUUGUUGGGAAAGAAAAGCAGCAGGUUAAUACCCCGCUGUUCUGACGGUACCCAAAGAAUAAGCACCGGCUAACUUCGUG